UUUGAAUUGUGUACAGAAACACAAAUAUCAAAGCAUGAAAAGCUUUCAGAUAGAAAGUCAGCAUGCCUCUUAUGCAUAAACAUGGAAACUGCUUUAAAAUGCUUAUUUAGCCGUAAAAUGACAAAAUUUCUAUCAAACAAAGAUUUAAAUUCUUUACUUUUAUUGAGUUUGACAAAUUGAAACCAGCAAACUAUUCAGGGAAGUUGCCAAAGUACAGAAUCUACAUUUACUGAUUUCAUCUCUUAGGCCUGAGAACAGUUAUUUCGUAGUGCAUUUCUUUUAGACAAUAGAUUCAAAUUAAAAAAAUCUCACCAGUUCAAUCUCAAAACGAUUUUUACAGUGUAGUGUACUACUAUUGGGACAAAUAAUAGCAAAAUUUUAGAAACUUCUACCAGCUCUAACUCAAAAUAUUGACAAUUCUGUGUUUAGGGGGUCUUAAAUUCAGUUUGACAGCUUCAGACAUACGGUACUAAUUUUAGACCUUUUGUAACUGGACCAAAUCACUACUUAACAUAAAAACUCAACACCCAAAUUUUUUUAUCAUGUAAUUUCAUCCCCUUACUCGAUAUUUCAUGCAUAAAAUGUCAAAAAAUGUCAAGAAAUAAAUUAGGAAAGGGUAUGAAAAAAAUUGGCAAGUAAUACACUGUUCACACUAGGGAAUAUAUAUGUGGACAACCAAAAUGGAAGGACGAUAACUGUGUCCUCAGACCAAUUGCUAAACCUCUUUUCUAGUCUCUAACUUUAAUUUGUCUCAACAAAUGUUAUAAAACUUAUAACAUUGUACACUGCUUAUAACAACAAAACACAGAUUAAGUUCAAAUUUGACUGUCACUGUUACUGUUCUUGAGUUACAUGCAUUUAUGCUUCAUUAUUAUAAAAUGGAAAAAUUUUCAAAUCUAUGGUGGAUCGGACAAACUUUUUUAUACGGAUUAUAUUUAUUUAGAUAUGAUUUAAAAACUUCAGAAAAGGUUGAGAAGCAUUUUAAUUUUAGGAGAUUCCAACCUGAAGCAAGUUGUACCAAUGGAAAUGAUGGAAGACCCAGUUAGAAUACUGUGCAUACCUGGGGCUACAAUUAAAAUCAAAGAUGACCUAUGCUGAAGUGGUGAGACUUCCUAUGCAUGUAACAGGAGACCAAACUUAGACCACCUUUGAUAUAAAGGUAUGAAAAUGAUGUCUAUUAUUAUAAGAAUGAAUGGAAUAUAUUCCGGUUGAAUGUCACUUUUUGUUUUUAUAUCCCCUAGUCCCUACAAACAAAGUUUUGGGAUAUACAUAGAAAUCCCUAUAUCAUCCAUCUGUAUGUCCAUAAUUUUUGCAAGUGCAACCCCUCAGAACUGCUGAAAUUGAUGACAUUACACAGCAAAAAACAUUGGGUUUCUUAUCAGCGAGGUGUAUAGGCGAGUUAGGAUAGUCGAGUUAUGAAGGGCAAGUUAUGACAGACGAGUUGCAAGUAACAAAAAUAUUAUGUUUCUCUAAUUUCUUAAGAAUUAUAUAUACAGCGAGUCUUAAAACGGUUGUGGCGUCUGAUUUUUUAAACAGAAUUUUUAGAUUUACUUUACAUUUAAUAAACAAAGUAUAGAUCUACCCAAGCUUAGUUAUACAUUACAUGAGGAAGGGUCCCGGUAUUUUGAUUGCAGGAUUUGAAAAAGUUAUGUGAUAAUUAUUUAUAAGAGGCUAUAUGUUAGAAAGUAAUGCACCCAUAAAAUUCUUUAAUGAGAGUGACAUUGUUCAUUUUCUAAAAUAAAACGGGAUAAACUGUAGAUACAUACAAGACAAAAUGUAUACUGUUCUGAACAAAUCAAGCAUAAGAAAAUUAAUUAUGUAGACAAAUAAAAUAUACUUGCAAAUUGCCAGAACAAAUAUUGCCUCUACAGCUGCCCCAAAAAGCCCACUCUUAACGAAAUUUGCAGCAGAAGAGAUCUUUUACAUAUAUGUGCUAUAGUUUUAGUUACUAUCUCUCUUUACGUUUAAAAUGACACUGACAGUGUUGUCUUAUCCGGGCCUUUUAUAGCUGACUAUGCGGUAUGGGUUUUGCUCAUUGUUGAAGGCCGUACGCCCCUACGGUGACCUAUAGUUGUUAAUGUCUGUGUCAUUUUGGUCUUUUGUGGAUAGUUGUCUCAUUGGCAAUCAUACCACAUCGUCUUUUUUAUAUUGGCUAUGAAUUAAUGAUAAUGAUGAUAAUUAAACUACAAGCCAUCCGCAGUAUUUCAAAAGGCUAUCUGUUUCUGCAGAAAAUAAACAUACUUUGUGUAGAGAUUACAUUUUUAUUACACGAAUCAACAAUACUGUAUACAAUUCUAUAAGCAAUCAUCAUUCAAAAAUGUUUAAGAGAUACACAAAAAAAAUAUGAAAAUAGUUUUCCCCAUUUUCAAGCAUUUUGACUUUCGUAACUCGAAAUAAAGAUUUUUAAUAAAUAUAAAAAUAAUAGUGCUGGAUGGGGGAUUUGUGUGAGUUGACUCCCAGUUCUAGUUUAUUCAGGUUACACACGUUUCUUAUUUGUAAAUGCAGUUUUUAUGUGAAGUGUAGAUAUCACAUGAAUGAAUACUAAUAUCGUAAAAUAUAUCAUAUUUUUGUUAUUGGUUAAUAAAGUUCAUUUUAUUGGAAUUUUGUUUCCAGUGUAUAGAAAUGAAGAAACCAAUGGGAGCCCCUGCCAAAAGGAGAAGUGUGUCUUCAGUUGAGAUUGGUAGAAAAAAAGAAAAAAAAACAGUUUACCUACAUUAGAAUUUUAAUAAUUUUGCCAUUAAACCUUAAAAUGUGUAUUUCUGAACCCCUUUAUACUUUUUACUGGAAAAUCCCUUACAACAAUGCAUGCUGUUAUUGUUUUGUAAGUCUAGAAACAUGGCCCUAUUACAGAAGAUGCAUCUAUUUUUUCAAGAGGAAUUAUAUGAUAUUGAAAUUAGACAGAUAUGCAAGUUACAUGUAAAAAGUAAAGUAACAAAAAUAUGGAACUCUGAGGAAAAUUAAAAAUGUAAUAGCGAAAUUAAAAGCUGAAAUACAUCAAGCAAAAAGAAAACAACUGUCAUAUUCCUGACUAAGUGCAGUCAUUUCUUAGAUUUAAUCUGGUUUUAUAGCUCGUUUUAGUAAACCAGUAUUUAAAAAUGAUAAGAUUGUAAGAAACAAAGCAAUUGACCCA
rnacentral:lncRNA from 1 species